UACAGAGGGGGCAAGCGUUGUUCGGAAUUACUGGGCGUAAAGGGCGCGUAGGCGGCCUGCUAAGUCGAACGUGAAAUCCCUGGGCUCAACCCAGGAACUGCGUCCGAUACUGGUUGGCUUGAAUCCGGGAGAGGGAUGCAGAAUUCCGGGUGUAGUGGUGAAAUGCGUAGAGAUCCGGAGGAACACCAGUGGCGAAGGCGACACGCUGGGCCAUACCUGACGCUAAAGCGCGACAGCAUGGGGAGCAAACGGG
rnacentral:rRNA from 1 species